rnacentral:rRNA from 1 species
AUUGAACGCUGGCGGAAUGCUUUACACAUGCAAGUCGAACGGUAGAGGGGGCAACCCCUUGAGAGUGGCGAACGGGUGAGUAAUAUAUCGGAACGUGCCCGGUCGUGGGGGAUAACGUAGCGAAAGCUACGCUAAUACCGCAUACGAUCUACGGAUGAAAGCGGGGGAUCGCAAGACCUCGCGCGAUUGGAGCGGCCGAUAUCAGAUUAGGUAGUUGGUGAGGUAAAGGCUCACCAAGCCGACGAUCUGUAGCUGGUCUGAGAGGACGACCAGCCACACUGGGACUGAGACACGGCCCAGACUCCUACGGGAGGCAGCAGUGGGGAAUUUUGGACAAUGGGCGCAAGCCUGAUCCAGCAAUGCCGCGUGCAGGAUGAAGGCCUUCGGUUGU